ACAGAGGAGGAUCGAUUCUUAGAGCUAAAGAAAAUAUACGGCCUCUUUUCGAACCACAAUAAACCAGAAACCGGACCGACGUUGGUUUUCCUAAGCCUUUUCGUAUCUUGUCAAAAUAUUGUAAACACUAUGACUUGCCGGCUAAAAAACGGUGCCGCCUCGUAAACUCAUGAUCUCCGGCGGUUGGAUCUCGGCGCGUGACGGAUCGGAAGAGUACUCAGGUCUUUUUUUUACGGCAAAGAGGAUAAUAAAAAUAUAAAAAUAUGACUCCGUGGCGUACCGCACUUUUUAGUCGAGGACCAAUGAGAAUAGGAAUAACCGCAGGAUAUUUUUGUUUCCUUUUCAAAAAAAGAAAAGCCAUAAUAUAACAAAAGCAUGAAUGCAUCGUUAUCUUGAAACACGGGUUCAAUGUAUUUAACAAACAUUUAUCCUUGAUGCCCGUUUUACUGAACCACUCGAUGAAUCGUUCGAUCAACGCCAUUUUCUUGACUGGAAUAGAAAAAAAUUUUCAGACUUCCACUACACUGCACACGAAAUGGAAGCUUUUUGGACAAGAAUGAAGAAUCAAUCCGUGUUUUGCAAAACACAACAAAGACCCGGAUAAUAUUGAGUUACGUGAAAGAAGAGAAAAAGAAGAAAAAAAAGCUAAUGAACAAGGCCGUUAUAAAUGUGGAACCCAGCCAUAUAAUUAUAGGGUAUAUCCCGACAGUCUAUGGCAAACAAGCGUGGACCCUCCAAGAGAGAAAGAAGAAACAAACUGGACAACAAGCAUCUGGAAGAUUGACACAUUCUCGAAGGGCCAUUACGUUAGUUUCCACCAAGACAAGAAGCAGUAAAGAAAAAGGAAAAAGAAGAGAAAAAAAGGCUACCUCGUAACAAAGAACAGACUGAAGUGGAAAUUUAUGUAUGUACCGUCGCGCAACAGCAUCUGCAAGGAAUUUCCUUCGCUUUGUCCGGUUUCGGUUUCUACGAGAUUUGGGUCAACCGGACAGUUACGAGAAUCAGUCGUUUCUACAGGGCGGAGGCUUCGGCCGACCGUUUACCUAAUGAUCUCUGAUUUCUUGGUGAGUUAAGGGUGAAGCGUUCAGGGUUGGUCAAACUCUACCCCACAACAUAGUCAGAACCAUGCAAAAAGUAUAAUUCCCACGUCGCAUUUCUUUUUUUCAAUACAAAAAUUAUUUAUCCAAAUUUUUCUACAUCUCAAUACUUUCACUUGUAAAAUGUACCCAAGGAACAUUAAUCUUAUUCAACGUAACAACAUAAUCUAUGUAUUAAAAGUGGCAGACAGGUAUAAAACUAAAAUGGAAAAGACAAUGUUUUCCAGAACUUCAAGCCUUUCACCAAAGACAGUCUAACUUACCUACUGAUUGUUAUCUUGACUAAGAAGAAGUAAUUACUAAAUUCCUUUCUAAGUGGGUCAUUUUUUGAAUUGGUACCAAUCCCUAUACCUAAUCCUUACAAGGAUUCAUUAUUCUGUUAAAAAAAAAAAAAAAACCCUUAAGGAAGACACAGUACAGAAAAUAGCUCCUCGUCAGUCACACCCAUCAGAGUUAGUUUUUCUCGAAGUAAAAUUUGCGUGAAAACGCAUUCAAUUUGACACUCGCAAAUAUUCUUGUGGAACGUGUGGGGAAUGUCUGAAGGUAGGAUUUAUGGUGAGCAAAACCAUCCCUGCGUCCAACUGCAUGUCGGAACAUUUAUCUCAAGUGUCCUUUGAGUCAACUUUCUCCUCCACAUUGUCACCCGUUCCUACGAUACUCCAGCAUCCCGUUGUGCAUCUGUAAAAUGGACGGCAAGUUCAUUCAUACUUCGCGGCACGAGAUCCACUUGAGUAACCAGCAGAGAGAUACAAUGAGACAUGAAAGUGAGAAAAGAAAGGACACGAGUCUUGCGGAGGAAGUGAGAUGAUAAAUUUCCAAAAUUUUGAGUGUUGAAGAUUCAGUAUAAUUUUGUUGAAAAAUCUUCUGCACGUUUUUGCAAUAAAUGUUUUUACUGUGAUUUCAAAAUCGUCAAAGCAUUUCUUGGUUCAGGAUCUCUUUACGACAUGGAAAAACGACCAAGCUUCAAUUUUCU